UUUCCCCCUCCCUCCCAAAAUCCCGAUUAUUCCCUUGUAACUUAGGGAAAAAAAAAAGAACCCUAGCCGUUUCGAGCUUCUUCUUCUUCUACCUCCUUCCUGCGCCAUUUCCCUUCCUCUCUUCACUGCGCCAUUUCCCUUCCUCCUAGCCCCCACCAUCGCCGAGCUCAACUCAGCCUCGCCUCAUUGCGGCGUUUCCCUUCCUCCUAGUUUCCACCAUCGCCGUUUUCCUUCCUCCCAGCCCCCAACAUCGCCGAGCUCAACUCAGUCUCUCUUCACUGCACCGUUUCUGUUCCCCACACCCCCAACCAUCAUCGAAGGUAGAGACCGCACCAUCGCCGAGCUCAAUUCAGUCUCUCUUUAUUGCGCUGUUUCAGUUUUUUCCACCCCGACCUUCGUCGAAAGUAGAAACCCUACCAUCGCUGAGCUCAACUCAGUUUCUGUUCACAGCGCUGUUUUCCUUCCUCACAUCCCCCACCAUCGCCGAAGGCAGAAACCCCACCAUCGCCAAGCUCCUAAGGAGUUUGCAACCAUGCUUUUCACUUCCAUUGCAUAAGCAGAUUGCUCAAGAUCCGUCAAGUUUGCCCUCUAGGUACAUAUCUAGGUUUUUGCCGUGACCAUAGAUUAACAUAUGGUCACGGUUAGAAACUGUGGCCUAAAGUGUCAAAAUUUGAAAAUUGUAACUGUGACCAUAAAAAUCAUGAUCAUAGAUAAAAAAAAUCAUAAUCAUAAACUUAUAGCCACGUCAAAAUAGGCCACGGUAAAAAACCGUGACUAUAAGUCCAAAACCAUAACCAUAAAUCUAUGAUCACCCUUUACCGUGACCAUAGGCCUUUUUUUUUUUGUAGUGUAUGAUCAUAUAGAAUUACCUACAAAAGUUUUGGAGGGAACCACAGCCCUAUCGUCUCAACAAAGCUUCACCGAUGCUUGUCACUUGUCACUUGGCAUAGUAAAAUUAGGUCAUAUAAAACAUAGUUUCAGACUUCUUCAAGUUAAGAUAGUAGUAGACAAUUUACUGCAUUUCUAGUAAUUAACAUUAUUAUAUUAUGUAUCCAAAAUGGACGGUGAUUCGGUGAAUAAUGCCACGUUCGCUUCACAUGCAA